rnacentral:rRNA from 1 species
UGCCUUAUAGUGGGGGAUAGCCUUUCGAAAGGAAGAUUAAUACCGCAUAAGAUUGUAGUAUCGCAUGAUAUAGCAAUUAAAAGGAAGCAAUUCGCUAUAAGAUGGACCCGCGUCGCAUUAGCUAGUUGGUGAGGUAAUGGCUCACCAAGGCGACGAUGCGUAGCCGACCUGAGAGGGUGAUCGGCCACAUUGGGACUGAGACACGGCCCAGACUCCUACGGGAGGCAGCAUG